rnacentral:rRNA from 1 species
AGUGAACGCUGGCGGUAGGCCUAACACAUGCAAGUCGAACGGUAGCACAGUAAGAGCUUGCUCUUACGGGUGGCGAGUGGCGGACGGGUGAGGAAUACAUCGGAAUCUACUUUUUCGUGGGGGAUAACGUAGGGAAACUUACGUUAAUACCGCAUACGACCUGCGGGUGAAAGCAGGGGAUCUUCGGACCUUGCGCGAUUGAAUGAGCCGAUGUCGGAUUAGCUAGUUGGCGGGGUAAAGGCCCACCAAGGCGACGAUCCGUAGCUGGUCUGAGAGGAUGAUCAGCCACACUGGAACUGAGACACGGUCCAGACUCCUACGGGAGGCAGCAGUGGGGAAUAUUGGACAAUGGGCGCAAGCCUGAUCCAGCCAUACCGCGUGGGUGAAGAAGGCCUUCGGGUUGUAAAGCCCUUUUGUUGGGAAAGAAAAGCAGCAGGUUAAUACCCCGCUGUUCUGACGGUACCCAAAGAAUAAGCACCGGCUAACUUCGUG